CCAAGCCUUGGAGCAGGGCCUGACGGUGCUGCCAGGGAGAGCCGGGCGCGGGGGCGGGAACGGCCUGGAAGGAGAGCUCAGUCCUCUUCCGGGGGGAGCCGGGGAGACUGAGAUACGGAAUGAAUGCGAGUGUUCCACGUUCUUUGCUAAACGUUGAGGAAUAAGCGGUGAAAAGGCCAGAAAAGAUCUUUGCCCUCUCGGGGUUCCGGUCUAGUGAGGGAGACCGACCUGCAGAUAAGUGACACAAACAUUAAUUUCAAGUAGUGACAAAUAUCAGAAAGAAAGGAACGGGUGAGACA